UCGCCUGUUUAUCAAAAACAUUUCUAAAUGAAAAUUAUUUUUAGUAAGACCUGCUCAAUGAUAUUUUUAAAUUGCCGCAUUCAAUGUGCUAAGGUAGCAUAAUCACUUGCCUUUUAAUUGUAGGCUUGCAUGAAUGGUUAUUCAUGUAGAUUUCUUUAUUAACUUUAUAACUUUAAGUUUUCUUAAAAGUUAAAAGACUUUUAUUUACAAGAGGGACGACAAGACCCUAUCGAGCUUUACUUAUGUUGAACUGGGGCGGUAAAAAACAAAUUCUUUUUUAUUUUCUUUCAAACAUUCUUUUUAUAAAAUCUUUGUAAGUUACCGUAGGGAUAACAGCAUUAUUUUCUUUUAUAGUUCCCAUUAAAAAGAAAGUUUAUGACCUCGAUGUUGAAUUAUUAAUCUUUUUGAAGCAAAAUUUAAAAAAGAAAGUCUGUUCGACUUUUAAAAUUUUACGUGAUCUGAGUUC
rnacentral:rRNA from 1 species